rnacentral:rRNA from 1 species
AAGAGUAACGGAGGAGCACGAAGGUUGGCUAAUCCUGGUCGGACAUCAGGAGGUUAGUGCAAUGGCAUAAGCCAGCUUGACUGCGAGCGUGACGGCGCGAGCAGGUGCGAAAGCAGGUCAUAGUGAUCCGGUGGUUCUGAAUGGAAGGGCCAUCGCUCAACGGAUAAAAGGUACUCCGGGGAUAACAGGCUGAUACCGCCCAAGAGUUCAUAUCGACGGCGGUGUUUGGCACCUCGAUGUCGGCUCAUCACAUCCUGGGGCUGAAGUAGGUCCCAAGGGUAUGGCUGUUCGCCAUUUAAAGUGGUACGCGAGCUGGGUUUAGAACGUCGUGAGACAGUUCGGUCCCUAUCUGCCGUGGGCGCUGGAGAACUGAGGGGGGCUGCUCCUAGUACGAGAGGACCGGAGUGGACGCAUCACUGGUGUUCGGGUUGUCAUGCCAAUGGCACUGCCCGGUAGCUAAAUGCGGAAGAGAUAAGUGCUGAAAGCAUCUAAGCACGAAACUUGCCCCGAGAUGAGUUCUCCCUGACCCUUUAAGGGUCCUGAAGGAACGUUGAAGACGACGACGUUGAUAGGCCGGGUGUGUAAGCGCAGCGAUGCGUUGAGCUAACCGGUACUAAUGAACCGUGAGG